AGAGAAUCUUGCCUUUGUCAUCAGAACUUGUCAUCUGAUAAGACCAUGACCAGACUCAGAUUUCAGCUAUUAUGUGAAAUAUACAAAUUCUCACAGCAUCAAUCUCAUUCUCCUUGGACCUACUCAGAAACAGGAGAAAGAUUAACAGUGCCUCACAAGAGUUCCUCACAGGAGCACAAGGACCAGCUUUUUCCCUAUGAGCACUUGAAAAUUGACAAACCUCUUUUGAUGACCUAAUGAUCACAUUGAAGCUUCACAACAGCCAAGUGGGCAGGAAAGGCAAUCACUCCCAUUUUACGUGAGACAAAGCCUCUCCCUGGAGACUCCUCUGCAUCAGCAGAUUAUUUCUGGCUUUGAAGAUUAUGG